UUCAAAAAGUUCAGGGUGUCCCUGCUGUCCUGGCCUGGGGUGGACAGGUACUCCAACUCAUAGCCUCCGCUUCUGUUGGCAGGGCGGACUUCACUGGAUGUUUUUUUGUGUUCCAAGAUCAGCUGCAACUGGUGGCUGGCGUACUCAGGCUUGAUGGUGAGGGGUCCUACAGGAACAUCUAUACCCAGGAUGUCGGUGACCAUGUAGGGGCGAAGCCAGCCCACCAGAGGGGUGCUGCCAGGGGUGUAGUGGGUCUGGCGGUGGUAGAAGAGGAGACCAUCCACCUGUAGCCAGAAAUUCAGAUUCUAAAUAAUCACAGACUGCUGAGGAUCACACAAAAUAAAAAUGGCUGAGAACUUUUCUUACGCUGAAGCUGUACUCAGCUGCCAAGGCUUUCUGAAUCAACUCUGCUGUGCAGUCGGUGCUUUGGAGGCUCACAAACCGGAACUGUUGGACCAAACAAGACCAGAGCACCAAGUUAUUAGUUCCAAAAAACAAUUUAUCUUCUUGUCAAAUGUGAGAAAUUGCUUUCCAAUGGGAUUGCAGCGACAGACUGUGUGAAACAACAGAAGAGCGGUGACAGAUUCUUACCUUGGAGGCGACAAUGAGAGAUCUUUUCCCUACAGGACAGACCACCAUCAGCCAAUCAGUGUCCAGUUCUGAUGGAACAUCCACCAGCCACUCUGACAGCAUGAGCUAAGGAGGAAAGGAAAUUGUGGAACAAACUCAGCAUUUCAUCUUCAUCAACGCUGCUUUCAACAGUCCAAAAAUGAUAAUGUCAUGUUUGUUGGCAUUCAACAAGCUUGAUGGGCUGUCAUUCUAGAAACAAACACGCCCUCUGCUGGCCAAGACAAACAAUGCAACAGAAAGGCACAGGGCAUAAUGUGCAUUAAAACACUGACCUGGUUUGCAUAAUGUUUUGGCAGCUUCCUCCUCUCAAUCUCCAUCCCCUCUUCUUCUGUGCUGCCAUUUUGCUCCGGUUUCCCCUCCUCUGGUUUCUCCAUGUCCUCCUCCCCAUCGCUGUCUGCCCCUGUCCAGUCCCCAUCAGCCAGACGCCGCGCAUGGUUGACGUAGUUUAACCUUUUACUGAGAUUAGUGAGGGGGGAAAAAGGCUCAUUCAGAUACUGUAGCACUCUGGCAUCGUUUUAAAGAUGAAAACAUCUCCAUUAUCUUCCUGUACACGACAUAGUAGUCAACUAAAAAACAUUAAAACAUGCAUUUAAAACGCAGCCCGACACCAGCAAAUCUGCACACUGUGCAUUCUUAAGUUUAUUGGUUUUGUCGAGCUGGAACGAAGUAAUCUUUUAUGAGCUUUCUAGAACUGCGCAUCAUCGUGUUUAGGAUGUAGCUGACAACUGUAGUCGAAAGUAUGAAGCUGGAAACAGUUCAAAGCAGAGGUUACUGGAAAAAGGUCUCCAGUGCAUUCUGGUUGCCUUUCACCACUGAGCAGUAAUGAGCCCUCACUGGAAGGGCAGGAAAACCUUAUCAAUAACUAAUUUGGAGAAGUGAAUCUAGAUUGGAGGAAUUGUAACCCAGAAGGGAUAGGCUCCAUACAUGUUUACUGACUCCGGCUGCGGCGCAUUAUGGCUGCGCUAAAGUUUUAUUCUGUCCCCUUCCAGGCAUUAUCUUCCACUGUUAGUGUCUCAAAAGAUUAAGUAGGCUAUGUAGUUAAAUGGUUAUUUUUUUUGUCGGUUUUGACUGUGUUUAUUGUUGAUAUACGAUUGGGAGUCUGUACAGGGUGUUUUAUUUUGAAAAUUGACCGGAUUCUCUAUGCUGUUCUGUGUCUGACUUCCUGCCCGGUUCAAUCUGCUCUGUACUGCUGGACAAGGCUUCUGUCAAAAAUAGACUGGCUACCUAUUCUCUGCAGAGCGGAGAGUUGCGUCUGGGAUGCGCUGCGGCCGUGUCUGGUGGACUCACAAGCAUUGACUAGAACGGCCGUGAUUAGCUCUGGCAACCGCGGUGCAGCCGUAACGCCACACAGGUGGAUUCAGUGGACUUUGUUGGUCAUUAUCCGGGGUCAAAUACUGACAUGUAAUGACAUUUACCUUUUCUGCAAAUCAAGGAAACGGCGGCGUCGCUCAUUCUGCUCUAGAACGCUGUACUUGCUCUUGUAUUGGGCCAGCCGUGGGUGUGGGGCGGCCGUACUGUUGGGUUCCUUUGACACAGCAAAGCUGGCCGACAGAGCUUUGGUUAGGUCAUCCAUGGGGACUCUGUAAAUGAAUUAAAAAGGUUUUUUUGACCACCCUGAGACUACUGCAGGUAUCUAUAUUGUAAGGAAAUGCUGGAUGAAUUCAUAAAUAAAUCAC